AGAAAUACACAAUAUACAUAUACACUGAUGGAGACCCAAAUUGGGGGAUAAUUUCCAUAGAUAGGGAGAUACACACAGUAAUAUCCAAGGGAGAAUGAAUACAGAGCUAAUGGGAUCCCCUUUUUCUUCAUCAUAAUCACACAAUUUCCACACACUAAGAGCACACAGGAAAGAGAUCUCCAUUUUUUCCCUUCACUCUCAGAAGAAUAUACAUGCACACACUGCACAUAGACCAUCUUCUAUAUUCACAAUACAUAUUCAUACACACAGCAGGAGAUCAAAAAAGAAAAAAACGGAGAGUUGACUAGAAUGACAAAUUAGAGGGAUUUAAGAAAGAGUGAUGGAGAGAGGAGAGAUUGAGAAAUAGAGGGAGGUUGAGUAGGUGAAAUAGUGAGUAAAAAGGGUUUGUUUUCGUCGCUGCCAGUCAUUUCUUUUUUAUUCCUAUUGUUUCCAAGCUUGCCGAAACACUGGUGUAGCAAAGGGCAGCAACCCAACUCCAAAUCAUUCUUAGAAUUGCCAUCAAAAAAUUUUGGCAUUCACUAUUUGGUUAUUUUCAUAGAAAACUCACUGGAAAAAGCACAGUAGUACACUGCUUGGCGUUGCUUCAGCUUGGGGUCGACAGUUUCGGCAAAAACUCGCCGGAUAACAUCGUUGUUGACCUAAAUUUUGGCCGUUCUCCAUAUCCCAUUGUUGUUCGAGCUCCCCUAAACUCUGGUAAAAUGAAACCGUUGAACCCCAAUGCUAAUCUGACCAAAGUUUGGCCAAUUUGAAUCCAAUUCCAGCGAAGCCCGCUUAAAAAUGGUUGAUACAGUAACGGGGACUAUAGAUUCGGGUAUGGGUAUCUUAUUAUUUCUCAAUUUUGGUUUGGGAUGUAUAAAAUAGAACAAAAAAGAGGCAUAUCGAGGUUGGUUUAGUCAUUGUUGAGGUUCGGUUUGAGACUUUGGAUGCGGUUCUAAUCGAAAAAAGCAAUCACAAUUGUAAUUUGAGGUCCAAUUCUACUCUUUCACUCUUUUCAUUUCAUUAUUGAUGAUGUUUGGUGCAUCGGAUUGAAUGCCGUGUGUUGAUUGAUCUUGAUUGGUGAUUGAAUUGCCAUUAGUUCGAUUUGUUGUUUGAUUCCUUGAAUUAUGAAUUGUGUAAUGAAAUGAUGUCUUAUUUAUUUGGAACUAAAAGGGAAUUUGGGGUGGAAUUGAGAAAUUGAUAAAAGGAUGAAUUUAGUCUAACUUUGGUUUAUUGUUGUUUCGUUUAAUUUGAAAUAAACGUCUAGUUUGUGAACUCGAUAGGAUCGUGUUUUAGGCCGAAAGAUUAAUAGGCAAAAAUUUAGGUUUGGGUAGGCAUAAAUUUACGAAUAAGUGUUUGUUGUUGAAUGUUGAAAAUUUGAAUGUGUGAUGAACAUUUUCUAGUUUUGUCAUAUUUAAUUAGAUGUAUUCAUUUGGCCGGGGAAUGUCCUGAGAUAUUUGUGUUCAUUUGCCGGGGAAUUUCCUGAAGGAUUUUGUACCCGAAGGACGUUCGUGAUCAAGACUCGAGGCGUCGGGUUAGAGCAUAGUCUAGCACUAGUAUAGAAUAGGAUUUAUUUUUUUUGCAAUUUUUUUGUUUUGGACUAUAUAAUUGGACUGGAGAUUAUUAUUUUGGUUUUGGAUUGUUGUUUGAUGUUUGUUUAUAUGCUUUGUGUGGUUUAUACAUUUUUGGUGUCUAAUUAGCCGGUACUCUCUACUAAGUGACCGUGGUCGAACAACGAGAUCGAGGGGUGCCUAACACCUUCCCCUUGGUCAACAGAAUUCUUUAGCCGGAAUCUCUGUUUGCAAACCAGUUUUAAAGAGUCAAAUCAUUUUGAAAAGGAUUUUCUAAAGGUGACUUGGCACACCGGAUUAUGCCAAGUGGCAACUCUGAGUUUUUAAAUGUAAAAAUAAUCCUUUUUUAGAACAAAUCUUUAUUUUGUCACUUUAAUAAUGAAAACCCUUUCGAACCUUAAAAUAAAUCUUUUUUGGAGUUGAAAAAGGGGUGUGAAAGCUCUGGAGACUCUGCUAGGGAAUUUUUCCAGAAUUCGAGCUUAUUUUUUGGAGUUGUAUCAGCUUAGUUUGAUAUUAUGGGUGUGUAAACAUUGUUUGUGUUAUCGUUUCUUGUGAUUAUUGUUGAGUGCCUACGUGCUCUUUGUUUACAGUUUUUCUCUUAUGUGUUACCACUUUAUAACUGGCAUCAUGUGCAUAACCCGAGUCAAUUCUUUCUGCAACAAGUUCUGUAGUACACGCUGUGUACACGACCUAUAGUUGAGUCACCCAUAUUUUAGGAUGGGGGAACCGUUGGCUGGUAUGGAGUAGGUGGACAGCCAAAGCAGCCACUAUCGACCGUGCUUCCCCGAAUAGCCUUGUUAGUGAACCCCGGCGUAGGUCAGCCUUUAGGUCAUACUUAUGUAGAUCAUAUUGAGACCUAGCGGGGCCCAUUUAGUCCUUUAUAGGAGACUCACCUCUACAUCAUCCCUAUGUGCUAAAUGUUGCAUCUUUAAGGGUAACGUGGUUAUUUGACGGACUGAUUUGGAGAAAGUAUGUUUUAGAAGUACAGUGUGUAGGCGAUGAAAAAAAAAGGAAGGAAAGUGAGUUGAAGAAAAAAAAGAAUUUAGUAGUUUUUAGAGUUCUUUAUGGAUUUUGUCUUUUCACAAUCUAAAAAAAUUCAAAAAGUUUUUGUUCACCAUUUGCACCAUCUUCGCAAAAUACAAAAAAAAAAAUUCAAAAAGAUUUUGCUUUUGUUUCUUUAGUCAUAAUUCAAAAUUUUCAAAAAGAUUUUUCAUUCAUAAAAGUUUUCAUAAAAGAAACAUUUUUUUUAAAAAAAAUGGUAGAAGUUUUGUACAUUUCAUAUAAUGAAAAUAUCAAAAAGAUUUUUCUUUCAUAGUUAUUGGUGUCAGUCUUUUGCGGAGUGUCAAAUUAAGAAUCCAAAAAAACAAAAAUUUCAUCAUUGUAGUCGUGUCUCUUAAGUCAGGGUUGAGUUUAUUCUUUAAUAUUUAAUUGUCCAAUCUGGACGAACUACGCAUACCUGAUUCCCGUCCCGAGGCAACCCUCGGUGGGUCCGGUAAUCUUUAUUUUAGCCUUUGUCUUAGCCUUAGCCUAGGUCUUUCUCCUCGUAAUUUAGUGUUGUUAUCAGGUCUUAGCCAAGUAGGCUGAUUUUAUUCAGUGAUACCGUUAGGCGAAUUGGAGUCAUAAAGUGUUCUGUCCCUUUGACAUAUGUCCGCGUCAAAGUCUCAAGGGUUGGGAAUCUUUUAUUCCUAUCGAAUUUUGAGAUAAUGUCUUAUGUGUUAUUAUAGGAUGGAUCUGUCCACAAUGUCUAGAGUCCGGAUGGUUGGCAAGGUACCCAAAAAGUUAAUCAAAUGGUGGGGUACGUUUAACUACAUUGAGCAACAGGGGUUGACAAAAAAGUUAGGCACUCUCACUUCCCUCCUAGAUCUUACGCCCCACCCAGUCCUGAUCGAGGCUAUAUCAACUUUUUGGGAUCCAAGUUGUUUGGUGUUUAGGUUUGAAAAUUUUGAAAUGACGCCUACUCUGGCAGAGAUAUCUGGUUUCUUUAAGUUGCCUUACAUUAAGAAAACAAUGAUUCGGGCACGGACUCAUUCUCCCACAAGGUUUCUUCAUGGUUAUGGUUUAAAGGCCAAUAACCACUUGACGUUCCUUAACCAAUCUUAGGUCUCCUUUGAUUAUUUGUAUUCUCGAUUUAUUCCUUCAUACGGUUUUGAUUGCUUUUGGAAUGAGUUCUAUACAACCAAGGAGAAUUAGGAGAAGCGUCAUCUAGAAGUCUUUACUCUCACCUUGUUGGGCAUUUUGGUCUUCCUAUUACAAGAAAGAUGGGUCAAUACUCACUUGCAGACUGUAGUGAUGGCCUUAUUUCAUAAAAAGCUAGGGAAAACAUUCACACUCGUAUCUAUGAUCUUGGCAGAAAUAUAUAAAGCUUUAACCAAAGUAAAGGGCGAGAUGAGAUUCUUUGAGGGAAGCAACCUGAUAUUGCAAUUGUGGAUAAUGGAGCACUUGCAUGAGACUUCUUUGAUUAGGUUGGAUAUGAUUGAUCAUUGUAUGCUUGAGCGAGUGAACGCCAUGAAUCAGAGAAUGCAUUUUGAUAAGUUCUCACUGCCAAUAGGGAUCGAUGCUUGGAUUGAAUUUCUUGAGUCAAAAACUGAAGACAACAUUCUAUGGACCUAUCUCUGGUUUCGUCCAAAAAAAAUCUUGUGUGGUUGUCGGAUGCAACCUCUGUUAGUCUUGUUAGGUAUCAAUUGCACUAGAUCUUACUCCUCUUGGGUAAUGCGCCAAUUGCAAAAAUAAAUUUGUUCAACAUUUUCAAUAUAACGUCUAUCUGGUUCCUGAUGAGAAAUCCCUGGUCAACAUGAAGAAGGAAAGUAAUGAAGGCUUUUGGGAAUACGCGAUAAGAUGGUGCGAAUAGGCCGCAAGGGUAAACCCUCCAAUGAAGGAGAGUAAGUUGGUACAGGUCUUUAUUCAGGCACAGGAUGAGACCUAUUUUCAACAUUUACUUUUGGCGAUGGGAAAGUCAUUUAUUAAAGUCCUAAAAAUUGGAGAAAUGAUAGAGGACGGAAUCAAGACUGGACGGAUUAUGAGUUUUGCCGCAUUAAAGUCCACCACCCAAGCAAUUCAAGGUGGCUCUGGAACUUUUGGAGGUAAAAAGAAGAAAGAGGACGUGGCGACCAUUGUAGCUAGAUCCUAUUCCAAUCCCAAAAGACCGUCUCUCCCCUAUCACCAACCCCAAGCCCAAGCCUAUGCCCAAGCUCCAUAUAUUCUACCCCAUCAUUACUAUCCCCCACAAAACCCACUAUAUUCCAUUCCACCACCCCCGUACCCAGUAUAUAGCGCACAGCCAUAUGCUCAAAUCCCUUCUUACUCGCAAUGGCAUGCAUAAGCUCCUCAAAAUCGUCCUUCAGCUCCUCCAAAUUUCCAAAACCCCGCCACACCCAGUUUCCAAACUAGGCCCGAGUAUAAGAAAGAGAAGGCGAUCAAAAAUUAGUUCACACCUCUUGGGGAUUCAUAUUCUAGCUUGUUUGAUAGGUUAAGAAAGAUGAAGGUCUUGAGCCUAAUUCAAGGAAGGCUUUCAAAUCCACCCCCAAGAAAUUUGGAUUAUUAUUUAAGGUGUGAGUAUUGUUUUGAUAUGCCAGGGCAUGAUAUCAAUAAAUGUUGACAUUUGAAGAGAGCCAUCUCAGAUUUAAUCGAUGAAAAUCAGAUUUUGGUCCAGGCCCCUGAGGUUUCGAACAUCAACUAGAAUCCGCUGCCAACCCAUGCUAAAACUAAUAUAUUAGAAUUGAUAUAUGAUGGCAAAGAGUCAUUGAUGUUUCAUAAGCCUAUUGUUAGAAUACAGACCAAUGAAGAUAAAUUGGUGUAUGUGGCGGGUUCAUUGAAAGCAAUAUCAUUGAUCCAAGAAGAAGCGGGAGAAUAUAAAGUCCAAGAAAGCACGAAGAAACCCAUGAUAAUGGUGAAAGGAGCCAAAACAAUUGUUGGUCUAAGUCAGGACAAACCUAAGUUGACGGUGGUAGGAUCUCCGGGUAAGCCUAUUUUGAUGGUAAAGGGAGUACUUUCAGUGCCUAUUAUCAUCAAACCGGCAACCCAUCCUCUGAUCGCCGAUAUAAAAAAGGUCCCCUGGAACUAUAAGUGGACUAUGAUGACUUAUUAGAGGAAGAAAGUUGAGGAAGAAGUAGAUGAGGUAGGGGGUCUGACUCGGUCAGGAAGAUGCUUUGUGCCUGAAGGUUUGAGGAAUCCCAAGACAGGGGUGAGUGGGCCUUCAUCUCUCAAGAAUCCUAUCACCGAAUAAGAAGCCAAAGAGUUUUUGAGAAAGAUAAAAAUGCCAGAGUACUAAAAUCAGUGUACAUGCUUUGCCACAGCUAAAAAAUGGAAUGAUUCAAGCAUUAAUUAAUUAUAAGGAUGUUUUUUCGUGGUUUUAUAAUGACAUGCUUAGUUUAAGCACUGAAUUAGUGGCUAAUAAAUUGCCAACUGAUCCUAUCUUCCCCCUGUCAAACAGAAGUUAAAGAAGUUUAAAACUGAUGUAAGUAUCAAAAUCAAAGACGAAAUCAUGAAACAACUUGAGGCCAAAAUCAUUCGAGUGGCUCGUUAUCCUACGUGAUUAUCCAAUGUUGUUCCUGUCUCAAAAUGUGUUGAUUACCAUGAUUUGAACAGAUCAAGUUCGAAAGAUGAUUUUUUGUUGCCCAACAUCCAUAGUUUGCUGGACAAUUGUGCUAAACAUGAGGUUGCCUCUUUUGUGGAUUGCUAUGCCGGAUACCACCAGAUCAUUAUCGAUGAUAAAGAUGCGGAAAAGAUAUCUUUUAUCACACCAUGGGGGACUUGUUGCUAUCAAGUGAUGCGGUUUGGUUUGAAGAAUGCUGGAGCAACAUACAUGAGAGCUAUGACCACUAUGUUUCAUGAUAUGAUGCAUACGGAGAUUGAAGUCUAUGUAGAUGAUGUGAUUAUUAAGUCAAAGAGUUAGGCUAACCAUGUUAAAGAUUAAGAAAGUUCUUUGAAAGGAUUCACAGGUAUAAUCUCAAGCUCAACCCGGCAAAAUGUGUAUUUGGAGUUCCAUCUGGAAAGCUGUUGGGGUUUGUAGUCAGUUGUCGGGGAAUCGAAUUGGAUCCCUCAAAAAUCAAAGCCAUUCAGGACUUACCCCUACCCAAGAAUAGGACGAAGGUGAUGAGUUUGCUGGGUAGACUGAACUACAUCAGCAGAUUUAUUGCUCAACUCACAACCACAUAUGAGCCUAUUUCAAGUUGUUGAAAAAAAGUGUUGCGGUUGAGUGGACUGAAGAAUGCCAGGAAGCGUUUGAUAAAAUCAAAAGAUAUCUUUCAAAUCCACCGGUGUUGGUGCCACCCGAGCCUAGCAGGCCAUUGAUUUUGUACUUAUUGGUUAUGGAUAAUUCAUUCAGUUGUGUAUUAGGGAAACAUGAUGGUAACAGGCAAAAUGGAGCAGGCUAUUUAUUAUCUUAGCAAAAAGUUCACUGCAUAUGAGGCUAGGUACACUCUUCUUGAAAGGACAUGUUGCACCCUAACUUGGGUAGCACAGAAGUUGAAGCAUUAUAUUUUGUCCUAUACUACUGAUCCUUUAAAGUAUAUCUUUCAGAAGCCUAUGCCAAUAGGUCGAUUGGCAAAAUGGAAAAUAUUGUUUUGAUUCAGUUGUACUAACUAUAUGGAAGAGUAUGAAGCUUGCAUUCUUGGUUUAAGGUUACCUGUCGAUAUGGGAGUCCAAGAACUAUUAGUGUAAGGGGAUUUAGAUUUGCUCGUCCAUCAAAUUCAAGGCGAUUGGUAGACGCGAGAUUUAAAGCUCAUACCGUAUCAACAAUGCUUACAAGAGCUAUGUCAACGGUUUAUGUCAGUAAAAUUUAGGCAUAUUCCAAGAAUUCACAAUGAGAUUGUUGAUGCUUUAGCUACUCUCUCUUCAAUGCUCCAAUAUCCUGAUAAAUCCUACAUCGAUCCGGUGCAUAUACAGAGUCAUGAUCAACAUGCUUAUUGUAAUGCAGUUGAAGAAGAGAUCGAUGGAGAACCUUGGUUCUUCGAUAUCAAGCGAUACAUCCAUUCUGGAGAAUACUCAACGCAUGCCACCAGUGAUUAAAAAGGGACUAUUAGGCAUUUGGCUAGUGGAUUUUUCUUAAGUGGGGGAAUCUUAUACAAGAGAAUCCCAGAUCUAGGACUUUUGAGGUGUGUAGAUACAAAAGAAGCCUCAAUAAUCAUGGUUGAAAUACAUUUGAGAGUAUGCAGGCCGCAUAUGAACGGUUAUGUCUUAUCAAAGAAGAUUCUUCAAGUAGGUUAUUACUGGCUUACUAUGGAGAGGGAUUCUAUUCGAUUUAUUCGAAAGUGUCAUUAAUGUCAAGUACACGGUGACCUGAUACAUUCUUCUCCUGCUGAGUUGAAUGCAAUGGCUGCUCCAUGGCUGUUUAUAGCUUGGGGAAUGGAUGUGAUCGGGCUGAUUGAGCCGAAAGCAUCAAAUGGGCACAGAUUCAUUUUGGUGGCCAUUGAUUACUUCACAAAGUGGGUAGAAGCAGUAACUUUCAAGUCAGUAACAAAGAAGGAUGUGGUAGAUUUUGUUCAUACCAACAUCAUUUGUAGGUUUGGAAUUUCAAAGAUGAUCAUCAUAGACAAUGCUGUCAAUCUCAAUAGUCAUUUGAUGCAAGAAGUGUGUCAACAGUUUAAGAUCGUGCAUCGAAAUUCUACUUCAUAUCGUCCAAAGGAAAAUGGCCUUGUGGAAGCCGCCAAUAACAAUAUCAAGAAGAUAUUGCAGAAAAUUGUACAAGGGUCUAGGCAAUGAAAUAAGAAGUUGUCGUUUGCACUGCCAGGUUAUCGCACUACUAUUCGCACUUUAAUAGGGGCAACUCCAUAUUUAUUGGUGUACAGAAUAGAAGCAGUCAUUACUGCAGAAGUUAAAAUUCCCUCUCUUCAAGUCAUUAUUGAAGCAAAGAUUAAUGAUGAUGAGUGGGUUAACACCCGAUUGGAACAGUUGAGUUUGAUUGAUGGAAAAAGACUGACAUCGGUAUGUCGUGGCCAGUUGUAUCAGAAGAGAAUGGCUCGACCGUAUAACAAAAAGGUACGUCCCAGGAAUUUUGAAGUUGGUCAAUUGGUAUUGAAACGUAUCCUUCCCCAUCAGGCUGAAGCGAAAGGCAAGUUCUCCCCAAAUUAGCAAGGUCCCUUUAUUAUGAAGAAAGUUUUGCCCAAUAGAGCCUUAAUUUUGAUAGAUAUUGAAGGCAAAAUGACAGAGAUGGCUAUCAAUGCUGAUACGGCCAAAAGAUAUUAUGUAUGAUAUUUUAUCCUAUAUUGGUUCUAUUUCAUGUUUAGUACUUGUGAUCUUGAAGAUUGGUAUGAUGAAGACAUUUUAUUCUGCUAUCCCAACAUUGUAUCAUCCUUUGUUUACCCCGUUUGAGCUUAGUUUUAUUUUUCUUUCAUAUCUCUCUUUUGGAAUCAAAAUAGAAUCAAAGAUAAAUGUCCAGGAAAAUAGGAAUAAAAGAAAGAGUUCAAGAAAUAAAAGUAAAAAAAAAUCAAAUCAAAACAAUGAACAAGCUGAUGGAACUACGUAUGACCUGAUUCUCCUCUCUUGGGAGUGAGAUACGUAGGCUGCCCUAUUCAAGGCUCGGUCCAACCAAAUAAAGAUCUUAGAGUCACCCAGUUAACAAAAAACUAGGGCAUGAGUUAAGGUGUUGUUUGAGUUGAUUCCAAAAGUUGUAAGUCCCACCCCACUUCAAGUGUCGUUUGAGCCUCAUGCCUUCCAUUUCUUUUUAACCUUAUCCAAAAGUCAAGUUACAACCAAAGAAAGACCUUCAGAUCAAUCUUUGAGAAUGUUAAGACUAAAUAUGCAAUGGAUAUGAUUAUGCAUUUUGGAUACUACUAGUCUUCCUCAGCGUAAAAAAUUAGGAGAGAAAUAAAAAUGAGAGAGUCUUGUUGGUGAAAACCCCCGCGGGCACCAUAAGGUGAUGGUCAGUUGAGAGAAAAUAAAAAAUGAGAGAGUCUUAUUGGUGAAAACCUUCACAGGCACCGUAAGGCGAUAGUGAGUUGAGAGAAAUAGAAAUGAGAGAGUCUUAUUGGUGAAAACCCCCACGGGCACCGUGAGGCGAUGGAGAGUUUAAGAGAAAAGUGAAAAGGAAAAAGGCUAUUUGCAAAAAUCUUUCAAGAUGUCGUCAAUUGAAUGAGAUGUAUGAGUCAAAUGGGUUUAAAGAAGCAACUCAGCAAAAAGGGAAUGAACUCAACAACAGAAGGUUGAAGCUUGGGUAGAAAGAACAGAUAGCUUAAUCCAAAAUACAUGUCAUACUAAUUGGAGUUGGUUGCCUCAUUCAGAUAAGUUUUCUUUUUUUUUCUUUUCUUCUUUAAUAAGGGACAUUGCCUUUUUCUUUUGUUUGCAUAUUUUUGUCUUUCUAUGUUAUUUGUCGAAAUAAAAAUCACCAUUAUUUCUUUACAUUUUGAGUCAAGUCUGUGUCAGAACAAGUGAGAAAGGAUUUCAAAACUUGCUACCAGUCUUCCCAAUUGUAUGAGGAAAAUCCAAAACUAGCACAUAAGAGAAAAAUGAGCAUAAUUCAAAACAAGUAAAAGGUAGUCUUCAACCGACAGGUUGCUGGAUUCAUAGGAGUAUCAGAUGUCAAAAGGCGUAUCUCAGAGGCAUGGUAAAAUAGAAACUCAGUGUUUGAGUCAAAUUUAUUUCCCCUAAUCUGAUCUGGGUCAAUGAUUCAACAAGAUAGGGGAAAGUAUCAGUGAUUUGAAACAAAGAUGAAAGGAACGAGUGCUGGAGCAGAUGCCUGAGAAGCCAAGUGGUGCAAACCACCACUAAGUUUUUAACUGACAAAAUUAUCUUUGAUGAAAUAGGGGCAAAUUUCUUUUUAGCAAGUUCAGCUACCGUAGGAAAGGCAAAAUGGGAUUUUACUUUCUGUUCAGGACCUCCUGAAAAAUGGGAUUUUACUUUCUAUUCAUGAACCUCCUGAAAAAUGGGACUUUACUUUCUAUUCAGGACUCUUCUGAAAAAUGGGACUUUACUUUCUGUUCAGGACCCUCCUGAAAAAUGAGAUUUUAUGUUUUGUUCAGGACCCUCCUGAAAAAUGGGAUUUUACUUUCUGUUCAAGACCCUCCUGAAAAAUGGGACUUUACUUUCUAUUCAGGACCCUCUUGAAAAAUGAGAUUUUACUUUUUGUUCAAGACCCUCCUAAAAAAUGGGACUUUACUUUCUGUUCAGGACCCUCUUGAAAAAUGGUAUUUUACUUUCGGUUCAGGACCCUCCUGAAAAAUGGGACUUAACUUUCUGUUCAGGACCCUCUUAAAAAAUGGGAUUUUACGUUCUGUUCAGGACCCUCCUGAACAAUGGGACUUUAAUUUCUGUUCAGUACCCUCCUGAAAAAUGGGAUUUUACUUUUUGUUCAGGACCCUCCUAAAAAAUAGGACUUUACUUUCUGCUCAGGACCCUUCUGAAAAAUGAGAUUUUACGUUCUGUUCAGGACUCUCCUGAAAAAUAGGACUUCAUUUUCUGUUCAGGACCCUCCUGAAAAAUGGGACUUUACUUUCUAUUCAGGGCCAUUCUAAAAAUUGAUACUUUACUUCUGUUCAGGGCCCUCCUAAAAAAAGGGACUUUACUUUCUGUUCAGGGCUCUUCUGAAAAAUAGGACAUUAAUUUCUGUUCAGGACCCUCCUAAAAAAUGGGACAUUACUUUCUGUUUAGGACCCUCCUGAAAAAUGGGACUUUACUUUCUGAUCAGGACCCUCCUAAAAAAUGGGACUUUACUUUCUAUUCAGGAUCCUCCUGAAAAUUGGGAUUUUACUUUCUAUUCAGGACCCUCCUGAAAAAUAAGACUUUACUUUCUGUUCAGGACCCUCCUAAAAAAUAGGAUUUUAGUUUUUGAUGGGAUUUUACUUUAUGUUCAGGACCCUCCUAAAAAUGGGAUUUUACUUUCAUUCAGGACCCUUACAAAAAAUGGGACUUUACUUUCUGUUCAGGACCCUCCUGAAAAAUGUGACUUUACUUUAUGUUAAGGACCCUCCUGAAGAAUGGGAUUUUACUUUUUGUUUAGGACCCUCCUGAAGAAUGGGACUUUACUUUAUGUUUAGGACCCUCCUGAAGAAUGAGAUUUUACUUUCUAUUCAGGACCCUCCUGAAAAAGGGGAUUUUAUUUUCUGUUCAGGACCCUCCCAAAAAAUGGAAAUUUACUUUCUAUUUAGGACCUUUCGAGAAAAUGGGGCAUUACUUUCAAAAAAUGAUGAAAUCCUUCUUUAUUAUAAUCUUUGUUUGGGAUAAUUGCCAUUCUAGUUUUGAUUCUGGUUUCAGGAGCCCGCCUGAAAAACAGGGUGAGAAAAUCGUAAGUCAGGAGCUCGCCUGAAGAAUAGGGUGACGAAAUGGGAAAUUGAAGAAAUUGCAAGCCAGGAACUCACCUGAAGAACGGGGUGAUGAAAUUGAAUGACAAAAAUGGCAAGUCAGAAGCCCGUCUGAAGAGCAGAGCGAAUAAAUGAAAGUCGAGCAACAAAGCGAAGCAAUUGAAAGCUAAGUAACAAGUCGAAAGAAAUUGCAGGUCAGGAGCCCAUCUGAAGAAUAGGGUGAUAAAACUAGAGCCAAGAUUCAAGAAAAGCUGCGUAUAUAGGAUUUUCUAAUUUCAUUUAUAUGUUAACUUGUAAUUUUCAUUUUGAUGUAAUGACAGAUCCGCGGACCAGAACCUCGAUGGAACCUCACUCGACUCUCCAACUCGGUAUAGUCCAUCUCCUUUCAAUCCUUUGAGAUACCUGUCACUUAACUCCCUCAUAAAUUAGGUAGGUAGGGUGUCCUAAGUCAAGAGUUGGUUGCCCUUCUUUCUUCUAUUGUUUUCUUCGAAUAAUGAUCGGGACAAAAUUCUAUCUCGUUGUCUACUUCUUUGUAUAAAACUACUUGGUGUUUACAUUCAAAGGGGGCAUGAUGUAGACACAUAAUUUUGUCCCAUCAAAAUAUUUCUUAUUCCGAUAUCACACAAUUUAACCCCUUUUUUAUAAUUUUUCCCAAGUAAAUAAAUAACCACCUCAUCUUUUACUUAUUUAUGAAUUUAUUUUUGUUUUUGUUUUGUUUUAUCCAAAUAACGAGCCAUAACAAACUUUGUCUCAUUCUAAUAUUCCAACAACCCACCCAAGCAAAACUGGACACCUAACCUCUACCCCUCCAAUUAAAAAACAGCACCUCACCUCUCACCUAACCACCCCAUACCCCUACCCUCACCCCUACCCCAUAUAACCCCUCCCUUUUUCUUGGCCAAAAAUAAAUACACAAUAUACAUAUACACUGACAGGGACCCAAAUUGGGGGAUAAUUUCCAUAGAUAGGGAGAUACAGACAAUAAUAUUCAAGGGAGAAUGAAUGCAGAGCUGAUGGGAUCCCCUUUUUCUUCAUCAUAAUCACAUAAUUUCUGCACACUAAGAGCACACAAGAGAGAGAUAUCCAUUUUUUUCCUUCACUCUCAGAAGAAUAUACACGCACACACUACACAUAGACCAUAUUUCAUACACACAGAAGGAGAUCGAAAUAGAAAAAACAUGGAGAGUUGACUGGAAUGAAAAAUUAGAGGGAUUUGAGAAGAGAGUGAUGGAGAGAGGAGAGAUCGAUAAACAGAGGGAGGUUGAGUAGGUGAAAUAGUGAGUAAAAAGGGUUUGUGUUCGUCGCCGCCAGUCAUUUCUUUUUUAUUCCAGCUGUUUCCAAGCUUGCUGGAGCUCUGGCAUAGCAAAGGGCAGCAACCCAACUCCAAAUUAUUCUCAGAAUUGCCAUUGGGAAAUUUUGGCAUUCACUGUUUGGUCAUUUUCAGGGCAAACUCGCUGGAAAAAGCACAGUAGUACACUGCUUGGCAUUGCUUCAACUUGGGGUCGAUAGUUUUGGCGAAAACUUGCCGGAUAACACCGUUGUUGACCUGAAUUUUGGCCGUUCUCCAUUUCACAUUGUUGUUCGAGCUCCCCUAAACUCUGGUGAAAUGAAACCGUUGAACCCCAACGCUAAUCUGACCAAAGUUCGGCCAAUUUGAAUCCAAUUCCAGUGAAGCCGGCCGAAAAAUGGUUGAUACAGUGACAGAGACUAUAGAUUCGGGUAUGGGUAUCUUAUUAUUUCUCAAUUUUGGUUUGGUCCAAAGAAAAUAGAACAAAAAAAGAGGUAUAUCGAGGUUGGUUUGGUCAUUUUUGAGUUUCGGUUCAAUACUUUGAAUGCGGUUCUAAUCGAAAGGAGCAAUCACAAUUGAAAUUUGAGGUCCAAUUCUACUCUUUCACUCUUUUCAUUUCAUUAUUGAUGAUGUUUGGUGCAUUGGAUUGAAUGUCGUUUGUUGAUUGAUCUUGAUUGGUGAUUUAAUUGCCAUUAGUUCGAUUUGUUGUUUGAUUCCUUGAAUUAUGAAUUGUGUAAUGAAAUGAUGUCUUUUGUUUGGAACUAAAAGGGAAUUUGGGUGGAAUUGAGAAAUUGAUAAAAAGAUGAAUUUAGUCUAACUUUGGUUUAUUGUUGUUUCAUUUAAUUCGGAAUAAACGUCUAGUUUGUGAACUUGAUAGGAUCGUGUUUUAUGCCAAAAGCUUAAUAGGAAAAAGUUUAGGUUCGGAUAGGCAUAAAUUUACGAAUAAGUGUUUGUCGUUGAAUGUUGAAAAUUUGAAUGUGUGAUGAACAUUUUCUAGUUUUGUCAUAUUUAAUUCAGAUGUAUUCAUUUGGCCAGGGAAUGCCCCGAGAUAUCUGUGUUCAUUUGCCGGGAAAUGCUCCGAAGGAUUUUGUACCUGAAGGACGUUCGUGAUCAAAACCCGAGGCGUCGGGUUGGAGCUUAGUCUAGCACUAGUAUAGAAUAGGGUUUAUAUUUUUCGCAAUUUUUCUGUUUUGGACUGUAUAAUUGGACUGG
rnacentral:lncRNA from 1 species